GUGUGUGUGUGUGUGUGUGUGUGUGUUGGGGGGGGUGUCCGUGUUUGUGAUCUGAACCUUUGGUACCUACAAGGAGGGUGUCUCACCGAACGGUAGCUAAAACCUCACCAGGACCACACGGAACUGUGGAGACACAGCCGAAGGCACCGCCGGAGCCUCAUAUCUGGGCCGGACCCCAGACCCAGCGUUGCAAGGAGCCCCCCGCCCGGAUCACAGAUGAUGGCCAUGCUUCUCUUAGACAAAAUCAGCAUCUCUCACUAGAUUUCACCUCCUAAUGGGCUGGUUCACUGAACACUGGGUAAAGUGGUAUUCUUUCAAUGACCAACAUCUGUAAACAGGAGGCAUGAGGGACAUUUUAAAUGACUGCUUCUUUAACUAGUUUAUAUGAUCCUGAUUCAUCUUUGACUCCAUUUCUAAGAAGACUUAGUUUCUUAACGGAGAGCUACAUAAUACGACCAAAUUUGGAACAAGGAGCCACGUUCCGCAGCCGCCACUCCACUUUUCAUUUCCUGGACAAAAUACAACAGUGGAAAAUUCUGCAGUCUCUCUUCAACAAGGGGUUGGUGUGAUACAAUGCAAGUCCUGCCUUGGCUAUAAAUGAAGAUUAAUAAAGAAUGACGUUGGGAUACUGUAUUCAGAUAUGUUAUAUCUGAAACUCCAGUUUCUUCAACUGUGGGUGGCAGCCUUAUUUGGGUUUCAUAACUCAAAGCAGGAGUCACAAAAAUGUUCUCAGAAGUAAAUGUUUCUAAAUGCACAAUGACAAGAAAAUUAAUUUAAAAUGAAACAUAAAAAACUUAGCUUUCUGGCCAUGCUCACCCACACGGCAUUUUGUAAAUUUAUUGCAUCCUUAACUCUGAACAAACAAUGUGUACUUUACACUGUGCCAGCUGUGACAGCACCUAUAACUAUGACCACUGAGCGCCACAGCUCGGCUCGCUGGCUCACUGCACUGUUCCAAUGUAUGUACAAUGUUUUCUGCUCUAUCAGAAAUAUGGUGGUUUAAUUAUGGAAAACAAAGAACAUUCAUGUUUUUUCUGUCAUCAUUCCUUAGCCUGUAUCAAUUAAUAUAGCUUGUGUUAUUUUUUAUGUUGGCAUGUUUGAUCUGAGAUAGUGCUCUUUGACUUGAGUUUCACAAGAAACUGGAAGAGAAUUUCAUUCUUGGAUAAGGACAGCCUUUCCAAUAAUUCCUGAGGUACGCACGAACAUGCUUCUGCCAUUUCAUGUUUAAUCUGACUGGUGUUAGAGAACAUUGAUGAUUGCUGAGCAACUCUGGAAAAACAAUCUGCAUACUACAUACAGUAAGGGUAACUUUAUGCAGAAAUAAAUAAGUGCACCAUCUUAUUAAUGUAUAUUUUGUUUUCAUUUCAAAUAAAUCAUCAACUCACAUAAAUGGAUAAUAACUCUUUUAUAGAAUUCUUGAUGAUUUGUUUGUAAAUGCUUUCUGUGUGUGCCAAUUUUAUAUACCUAUAUAAGCAACAUUGUGUAAAAGUUUGUUGGGUGAAUAGGGAUCACUAGUACAAAGUUUAAGCAGCCCUGCACUAGAUCAAGGUGACACAUUCCACUCUCUGUGUAGAGAUUUCUUUUAUAAGCGUGUGUCAUAGAGGUCCUCUCAAGUGUCAUUAUUGGUUGUGCUUGCUUUUAUGUCUUGUUUUAUUUUGGGAGGCCUGUGUUUCCUCAGUGAUGGGGCAGUUUUCUGAGGUUCUUAAGAGUAUAAUGGAAUUGGAGCCUUGCAAAGGUCCCCAUUGUCACUAGAUUGUCUUACUGUUUAAUGAUUCUUCCUUCUUCCACUUCAUGCUUUCUAGUGCCCACAUUCUGGUUCUUUAAUGUACUAUGCAAAUACAAGCAUUAAAUGCAAUUUCCAUUCUUCCUUGAGACCACGAGCAUUAGGUUGAAUAACCCCGAGAAUUUGUUUACAAUCAUGUCUGGCCUAAUGACCUAUGCAGCCCCAGUGACCAUCCUUCACUUACUUAUUUCAGCACUGAUUUUUCUUAUGCCUUUUUAUCAUGACAUUUAAAAAGCUCUCACAGUUUAUAGAGGAGGAAUGUGGCACAGUCACAGAGAUACUUUGAUUCCCAGUUCAUUAUACUGUCCAAAAGAACCUGUGUUUUCAGUAAGCAAAAAGCAACAUCGACUUUUACUGAAAUUUUUGGUGUCAUGGAAAUACUGCAGUGAAACCGUCUUCAUGGAAAUCCAGUGUUAAAUAUCUAUGCAUGUUAAAUAAAGUUUAGCAAUGUUCUGUACCAAGAAUAUAAUUUUGCCCAAACAACUUCUCUAUAAAAAUCUAAGUGAAGAAAUCAUAAAAGAAACAUAAUGUCAAGAUUUCACCUUAAAACUUGGAAUAAUGUGUUAGAUUUGAAAAA